ensembl:lncRNA
UUGGGGUGCAAUUAAUGGAUUUGGGGUCACUUCAAUGGGAUUUGGGGUCACUUUAAUGGGAUUUUGGGUCCAUUAAUGGGAUUUGGGGUCACUUUAAUGGGGUUUUGAGCCACAGAAUGGGGUUUUGGGGCACUUUAUUGGGGUUUUGGGGUCACUUUAAUGGGGUUUUGAGUCACAUAAUGGGGUUUUGGGGCACUUUAUUGGGAUUUGGGGUCCAUUAAUGGGAUUUCGAGCCACAGAAUGGGGUUUUGGGGCACUUUAUUGGGGUUUUGGGGUCACUUUAAUGGGGUUUUGAGCCACAUAAUGGGGUUUUGGGGCACUUUAUUGGGGUUUUGGGGUCACUUUAAUGGGGUUUUGGGGCUACGCAAUGGGAUUUGGGGUCAAUUAAUGGGAUUUCGGGGCUACGCAAUGGGAUUUGGGGUCACUUUAAUGGGAUUUGGGGUCACUUUAAUGGGGUUUUGAGUCACAUAAUGGGGUUUUGGGGCACUUUAUUGGGGUUUUGGGGUCACUUUAAUGGGGUUUUGGGUCUCAUCAGUGGGAUUUUGGGUCACUUCAUUGGGAUUUGGGGUACGUUAAUGGGAUUUCGAGCCACGUAAUGGGAUUUUGGGUCUAUGUAAUGGGAUUUCGAGCCACGUAAUGGGAUUUCGGGUCUACGGAAUGGGAUUUUGGGUCUAUGUAUUGGGAUUUUGGGUCAUGCUAGUGGGAUUCUGGGUCUUGUUAAUGGGAUUUCGAGCCACGGAAUGGGAUUUUGGGUCUCGUUAAUGGGAUUUUGGGUACAUUAAUGGGAUUUCGGGUCUACGUAAUGGGAUUUCGAGCCACGUAAUGGGAUUUUGGGUACGUUAAUGGGAUUUUGGGUCUACGUAAUGGGAUUUCGAGCCACGGAAUGGGAUUUUGGGUCACUUUAUUGGGGUUUUGUGUACGGUAAUGGGAUUUCGAGCCACAUAAUGGGAUUUCGAGCCACGUAGUGGGAUUUUGGGUCUUGUUAUUGGGAUUUUGGGUACGUUAAUGGGAUUUUGGGUCUACGUAAUGGGAUUUCGAGCUACGUAAUGGGAUUUUGGGUCUACGGAAUGGGAUUUGGGGUUGUGGUCAUGGGAUUUUGGGGCUACGCAAUGGGAUUUGGGGUGCAUUCAUGGGAUUUUGGGGCUACGCAAUGGGGUUUGGGGUACAUUCAUGGGAUUUGGGGGCUACGCAAUGGGAUUUGGGGUUGUGGUCAUGGGAUUUUGGGGCUACGCAAUGGGAUUUGGGGUACAUUAAUGGGGUUUUGGGGGCUACGCAAUGGGAUUUGGGGUUGUGGUCAUGAAAGAUUUUUUGGGCUACACAAUGGGGUUGGGUGCAAUAUGGGGUUUGGGGGCUACGCAAUGGGGUUUGGGGUUGUGGUCAUGGGAUUUGGGGGCUACACAAUGGGGUUUCGGGUCUACGUAAUGGGAUUUUGGGUCUACGUAAUGGGAUUUCGAGCCACGGAAUGGGAUUUCAAGCCACGUAAUGGGAUUUUGGGUCUACGUAAUGGGAUUUCGGGUCCCGCUAAUGGGAUUCCAGCCCGGAUCGCCCUCUCUAGGCCCCUAUAGGGCCAGGUAGAGCGUGAUGGGGCAGUGGUCGCUUCCCAUGGCCACAUAAUGGGAUUUUGGGUCUACGUAAUGGGAUUUCGAGCCACGUAAUGGGAUUUUGGGUCUACGUAAUGGGAUUUCGAGUCCCGCUAAUGGGAUUUUGGCUGGGAUCGCCCCCUCUAGGCCCCUAUAGGGCCAGGUAGAGCGUGAUGGGGCAGUGGUCGCUUCCCAUGGCCGCGGAGCGGAUCUUGGAGUCGCACAGCGCCUCCCGGAGUCGCGUGGAGAGGAGGAAAUAAUCCAACCUCCAGCCCACGUUGCGCUCCCGGGCGCCCCCCAUAUAGGUCCAAAAGGUGUACGCGUUGGGGACGUCGGGGUAAAGGAGGCGGAAGGAAUCCAAAAACCCCCCAUCCAAAAGGGCCCCGAAAGCGUCCCGUUCUUCUUGGGUGAAUCCGGGGGACCUCCGGUUGCUUUUGGGGUUCCUGAGGUCGAUCUCACGGUGGGCCACGUUGAGGUCCCCGCAGAGGACGACGGGUUUUUGGGCGUCCAAACGUUGCAGGAAGGAUUUAAAGGCUCCGUCCCAACGUUGGCGGUAUUGGCAGCGGUGGUGAGAACCCCGGACCGAAAUUUGGGACGUAGGCUGAGACCACGUAGACGGAGGGGAAUUCCGCCGUCAAGACCCGGCCUCGGGCCGUCGUGCUCCUCUAUGCUAUGGGGGG